UUGAUUCAUCAUUGUUUUCGG
ensembl:piRNA 21ur-3871 ncRNA